rnacentral:rRNA from 1 species
UACGGAGGAUCCAAGCGUUAUUCGGAGUGACUGGGCGUAAAGAGUUGCGUAGGGGGUUUGUUAAGCGAAUAGUGAAAUCUUGUGGCUCAACCAUAAGGCUAUUAUUCGAACUGGCAGACUUGAGAAUAUGAGAGGUAGAUGGAAUUUCUAGUGUAGGAGUGAAAUCCGUAGAUAUUAGAAGGAACACCAAUGGCGUAGGCAGUCUACUGGCAUAUUUCUGACCCUGAUGCACGAAAGCGUGGGGAGCGAACCGG